rnacentral:lncRNA from 1 species
UCCUAUGCGGCCAAUGAAUCGUUCUGAUAAGAAAUCACCAUGGAUAUGACAGGUGUAUGAAGAAUGGCUAGUAUUACUAAUUAAUGGCAAGGAGCUCUGGUUGUGAACAUUUUCCAAAAUUCCAUACAUAAGGGAAGUUUGCAAACAUUUUCCAAAAUUCUAUCCGUAUUCUAUUUUAGGAAAAAUGACUGUGGGACUUUCUUUCCCCAGCUGUUUUGAGGCUUUAAAAUUUAUCUUAGAACCUCUUGGAACUAUCCCAUCGGAAUAACUGGAAGACAGAUAAAACAUUAGGCAGUUUAUUGAUUUUAUUGGACGUGGAGUUUUGUCAGAACCAGCAUUUACUGUACUUCUCAUAGCUGUAAGCAAAGCAUUAGAAUUCAGCAACCUAAUGCUUUUCUUUUCUCUGCCAAGCGGGGUCGUGAAAUGGGAGAGAAAGCCUCCUUGCCUCUGUUCUUUGCAAACAGCAUGUAUUUGGGGCAGUAGAGCAAAACAUCUGAUCGCUGCUCUAAGUGUUUGCAAACUUUUGGGCACUGGAGGGGACAUGCAUAUGAGAUGGAACAGGGCAUAGAUAAAAGAAUUCCUGCAUUACCCACCAUCCUGCCCAAAGAAACCACACGACUUCCAUGGCAGUCCCAGACUACAGAAAGGGAAAACACAGCAAGCGCCUGCAUUCUCUUCAUUUAGGCCCCAAGUCAUCCAAAAAUUGCCUACCACAGCAGUAGAUGAGUUCACAUUUUAAUCAAAACAGGAUUGCAUAGAAACAUACGUCCACGUGAAAACCAGUACCCAAUGUUUAUGGUGGCUUUCUUUUUAAUUGCUAAAAACUGGUAACAACCUAAAUGUCCAUCGUCAGAGGAAGCGAUGAACAAACUGCGGUGCAUUCACACAAUAGCGGUGCUACACAGCAGCGAAGAGGAGCAGCCGACUGACACGCACAACUCGGAUCUCAGGAGCAUCGCGCCGAGCUGGAGAAGCCAGACACGAGCCGCUGCACACCGUAUGAUUCCAUGGCAUUCUGGGAAAGGCAAAACUCCAAGCACAGAGAACGCAUGAGUUGUUGCCCGGGUUUGGGGUUCCAGGAAGAGGAUGGAUUACUAAGAAGCACAGGGGAAUGUUUUGGGGUGAUGAAAAUGUUCUAUGUCUUGUCUUUUUCUUUUCUUUUUGUGAAACGGAGUUUCACUCUUGUCGCCCAUGCUGGAGAGCAAUGGUGUGAUCUCGGCUUACUGCAACCUCCACCUCCCAGGUUCAAGCAAUUCUCCAGCCUCAGCCUCUUGAAUAACAGAUUACAGGCACAUGGCUCCCCGCCCAGCUAAUUUUUGUAUUUUUAGUAGAGACGGGUUUUCACCAUUUUGGUCAGGCUGGUCUUGAACUCCUGACCUCAGGUGAUCCGCCCACCUCAGCCUCCCAAAGUGCUGGGAUUACAGGCAUGAGGCACCACAUUCGGCCAAAGUUCUAUGUCUGGUCACAGCCAUUUACAUUAAUCAGAAUUCACAGAACCAUCCAUCUUGAAGUGGUAAAUUUGCUGCAUAGAAAUUAUACCUCAAAGACCAGACGUUCAAAAAUGCCUUUGUGUUUUGUAAGCUUCAACACUUGCCCAGUGGGAACCACAAAAGCGUUGCCCAAUUUGUUGAAAGCAUUGCUGUUAUAACUUCAACAUGUGGGGAGAAGUUAUGUUUUCAUACUGUCUUUGUCUGCUCUGGCCACCGUUACAAAACACCAUAGACUGGGUGGAUUGAUCAACACACAUUUCUUUCCCACAGUGGAGGCUGGAAGUCCCCAAGACCCAGGUUCCUGGGGAGGGCUUUCUUCCUAGCCUGCAGGUGACCAACAUCUGCUGUGUCCUCUUGUGACUCUUCCUCAGUUCCUGUGCCAGAGGGGUCGGGGGACAAGUGGGCGUCCAUCUUAUAAGUGUCCUCAUAAGGCCACCAUCCUGUCGACCAGGGCACCACCCUAUACCUCAGUCAACCUUAAUGACUUCCUUGGUGGCCCCCUGUCCCGUUGCAGCCAGGGUUAAGCUUCAGCGUGCAAAGUGAAAGGCCACACAAAUCUUUGUCCGUAACAAAUGCCCAGUGGACAGGACACUCGGGUGCCCUGAGGCUGCAGGAGCUGAGGGUGAUCUUGCUCAGGUACUUCUGCUGGUACCUGCUGUAUGGGAAAAAGUCUGUUCCUCCUGGCUGGUGUCAGAAGUAACCAGGCUGAAGCCAUGCUCUGAAAGAACCUGUGCAGGGAGAGAAAGACCUGUUUGAGACCGACCUGAAAGCUCUCCGAGGGGAAAGAGCAGGGGGUUCCAAUGAUUCCUGUAGUUUACUGAGCUCUUGAAAAGAAGCAACCGUUUUUCCUGACCUUGACACUCAAGCAUUUUUGAUGGUUCUAGAAGUACCCAUUUUCAGCACAUUGGUGGUAUUAUUCCAACAUCUUUUAGCUUCCCUUGCUGCCGUUGAGAAGUCUGUUGAUUUGAUACUCUGCUGUAAGUAAUCCAUUUUUUCCUCACAUAUGCUAAUUUUGAGAUCUUCUCUGCCUUUAUUGUUCUGCC